GCCCGUGCCCCUCUUCAGGAAAGUAGCAACUUGGAAGACCAUCUGGCAUGCCUGAGGUUGCUUGGGGAGAGGGCAUGUCUGUUUCUUUGCCUUCCUUUGGCUGCCUACACUC
ensembl:snoRNA